AGAAAAAAUGAAAAAGAAGAAGAAAAAC
rnacentral:sRNA from 1 species